rnacentral:rRNA from 1 species
CCUACGGGGGGCAGCAGUGGGGAAUAUUGGACAAUGGGGGGAACCCUGAUCCAGCCAUGCCGCGUGUGUGAAGAAGGCCCUCGGGUUGUAAAGCACUUUCAGUGAGGAAGAACGCCUGGUGGUUAAUACCCAUCAGGAAAGACAUCACUCACAGAAGAAGCACCGACUAACUCCGUGCCAGCAGCCGCGGUAAUACGGAGGGUGCGAGCGUUAAUCGGAAUUACUGGGCGUAAAGCGCGCGUAGGUGGCUUGAUAAGCCGGUUGUGAAAGCCCCGGGCUCAACCUGGGAACGGCAUCCGGAACUGUCAAGCUAGAGUGCAGGAGAGGAAGGUAGAAUUCCCGGUGUAGCGGUGAAAUGCGUAGAGAUCGGGAGGAAUACCAGUGGCGAAGGCGGCCUUCUGGACUGACACUGACACUGAGGUGCGAAAGCGUGGGUAGCAAACAGGAUUAGAUACCCCGGUAGUC